CAUGAGGUAAUUCUUCUUCUUCUUCUGUAUGGCUCUACGUCUACACUGGGACUUGGGCUACCUCACUUCAACUUAGUGUUCUUUGAGCACUCCACAGUCAUUAAUUGAAGGGCUUUCUUUGCCUGCUAUUGCAUGAGUUUGUAUAUUGUGAGGCAAGUACAACGUUACACUAUGCCCAGGUAGUAGACAAAAUUUUCCCGAACGGGAAUCGAACCCGCCGUCUCCGGAUUGGCGAUCCAUAGCCUUAACCACUAGACUAACUGGAGACCCUCACACGAGAUACUUCUGAAGGAAUUCUAGAAGAGUCUGCAGAAAUGAUAGAAGUUACAUCUGGAGCAAGCCAAGAACAUGUUUUUGGGGAAUUCAAUAUGAUUGUUCGAACCACUGUGAGACCACUGUAUCAAACCCCUCGUUUAAAUGGUAGCACGGUUAGGUAGGACAAUAAGGAGCUGAUGUCAUAGUCAAGUGGACAUUUAUAAUUGGACAUACUGUGGAAUACAAUGAAAAAGACAUCCUUAUGGUCGAUUAGUUGAUGGCGUUAUAUAUGAUUUCUAUCUUAAGUGAUUUAUACGUGAAUUAUAAUUAGAGUAUGCGGCAAAUUUGAAGUUAAUUGAAAUGAGUGGAAACUAUACAUUAAACUAUUGAAUUUGUUAUAGGAUCCACAUUAUAAAACCUUUAUUUGUACGUCGACUUACAUCGUAUGUGACGAUUUUGUUCACUGUAAUAUCGUUACAGUAGUAAGUUUAUUGUAAGGAUGUUACCAAAAACGUUAUAUUAACUGAACUACUCUAUGAACUAGGUCGAAACAUAAGGGCACAUAUUCGGAGCAAGAUUGGCUCUGCCAGGGUUGCCAAAAUCAUUUGUGGGGAUUAUUUCUCUGAAGGAUUAAACUAAAAUUGUAAGCAAAUAAUAUUAACUAUACGCAAUUAUGUACUAUACAAAUAUAUUUCUUCUAGCUUUGAGCGCGUUACCAACAAACUGCUUCAAAGAGGUUUUUUCCGAUAGUUCCAAUCCGAACAAUGAUUUUUUCUGAAGAAUCUCGGAAGGGUUCUCUGGAUGAAAAUCCUAGAAGGAACUCAUGCAGGAAUCUGUUACAAAAAUAAAAGAAAUUAAUUAUUACAAACCAUUAACACUUCACGGCAUACAUAGAACCUUACAAAUGCACAAUAUACAGACAUCACAAAUUGACGUAGCACAACACAUAACAUAAAUGUGCCCUGUUAUCCAGAUGGAUAACUCCUUCCGAUCACAGGGUGAUGAGGUUUCAUUUAUUAGUUUGGGUCCAUCAGUCAUCCUGAAAUUGUAUUUUAGUUGGCAUUUUGCCUUUUAGUUCACAUCAUUUGUUGCUGUGUUCAUAGCUUGGUUUUGUCUAGGAAAACUAAUCCUAAUCGGGCAUCCCGUUUCAGGGUUCGAUACUUGAGCUUAACAACUUGAAGUCCGUGGCAGGGGAAGGUUUACAUCUCUAGUACUUGACCGCUGCCCGAAAUAGCCUGAAAGUCGGCAAUCAAAGUGGGAUUGCAUUUCAUGGGCCUCUAUUUUUCCAGAACCCUAUAAAUGUGCAUUAAAAGUAUGGGAAUAUAUAUAAGUUAAAAUGAAACAUACAACACAAAGAACGAACGAAUAAUAAUCUUAUAACACAUUAAAAAAUUA